AAAUGUGAAAGCGACUGCCUUUUUGUACAGGGUGUCGCCAUGCUUGCCAGGCUGGCCUCGAACUCCUGACCUCAAGUGAUUUGCCUGCCUUGGCUUCCCAAAGUGCUGGGAUUACAGGCAUGAGCCACCACGUCCGGACAUAAACCCAGUAAUUUUGUACAAUUUAUAAAACAAUGUAGUCUACAGGAACUAAGGCUAUGUUUUGCCUCAAAUGUUUUUUGUUUUCAGAAUAAAAUACUUGGUCAGUAGAAUCUCUUCAACAAAAUAGAAGAGAAGCAGUCAUGAAGAAAUAAAUCAUCUUUGUUUCUACUCAUCUGUCACUUAUGUGAUACGUACAAUAUGUAAAAAGGAAAAAUCCCUGUUUAACAGCCUAAGGCAACCAGCAGCUUCCACAUUGGUUGGAUAUUAAUAAAUUUUUUUCUUUACUGUAAAAUAUA
rnacentral:antisense_RNA from 1 species